UCAGCAAAAUUUCUCCAGCCAGAGCAGAAGGGAGUGCAGAUUAACAUUUUAUUGGGUCCAGAGAGACUGGGUUGGGCUUGGGAGAAGGGCGGGUGGGUGAUUUUUUUGGAGACAAUAUAAAUGUGAGGGGAUGAUUGAGGGAAAUCUUACCUGGCCUAGAACUGGGUAAAUGACCACAGAAUUCCCCUUUCCUUUCUCUCUGGUCCAGCAGCUCCCCGCAGCCCCUCCCCCCUCCGCGUUUGAUGUGCAGACAGGCCCGAGGGAGGGGUGAGGGCGGGGGCGCGUAAUUAAUCACAAGUUAAAGGAAUUAAAUUCAGCCGGGGAUGUCAGCAGCCAGCGGCGGCCCGGUCACCCGGGAAAUUACCGGGGGACGGGGAGGGGGACAGCCACUCCACAGUGUAGGGGGUGGGGAAAGUCUUCCCAACUCUAGCCCCCACCCCACCCACAUCCACAAGCGUCAAUGGAGGGGUGGGGAGCAGCCUGGGAGUUGUCGCUAAGGGAAUGCCUUUGUGCUGCUCUCGUUAACGUGUUCCCGCUCUAUUCUCUGCGAGCGUGCGGCUGCCUGUAUCGCGGGUGGUGUAUGUGCUGCUUCAUGGGCGUUACAAGGGCGUGCGCAAGCCGGGUUACUGUGUCCCAACGGCGCGUGUGACUGUAUCUCCGCUGGGGAACUCCCGUAAGGCCUAGCUCCGGGCGCGAGGCUGGUUACUGUGUAUCGCCGCGCAGCUACCGUUGCGCCGUAAGACGUUACAGUGUCCCCCAAGCCCUUCAUUGUCUCCGCGGUAGCGGUGUUAGCGACGCAGAGACUAGCGCGCGUCUGCGAGGAGAUGUGCUGUCACUGCAGCCUCCCGGACUGUGGUUUUGCCCUUAGUUCUCUCGUCUCCGUUUCUACGCAUCCCACGUGCCGCUCUGGGUUGGAUCCGGGUCAAGGUCAUCAUUAAUAAACUCUUGGAAUGAGGAGGGGGCAGGGGAGGUAUUUGUAGAAAGGAAUGCCGAGGGGUGCCCUGGGGCUUAGUGGUUUCAAUUUAGAAACGAAGGGCCGAUCUCACUUGCGGGUGAGGGAGAAGAGCAAUUUGGGGAGUCAGCUUUUAAAAGCUGAGGGGGGAGAGGUAAUGGGGGACGCAGCCCUCCCCGAUGUCAGGCCUGCAAUCCGUACGUACCAGGGGUUGCUCAACGCCCACGAGCCGCCAGCGUCUGUGGCCUGCUCCCACCCUUUCCGCUCGCUCGCAGGAGGGAAAAAGCGAAAAGCCGCGUCGGAUCCUCUUUAUUCACACUGACCGGGGGCGGGGGGUGGAGGUGGGGAAGCGGCUACAAACUGCCGGAUGUCUAAGCGAGGCAGAGGAGACCCGGCUGACCGGGCUACGGCCAUCGCUGGGAGAAGCCUCCGGGCAGAGGCUGGGAUAUAGACUAGCAUCUGAUUAGAACGAAUCCCCGGGAAAGGAAACGUGUGUUAUUGGGAGUCCUUAAAAAUGAGGGGAGGGGACAGAAUAGGUGAAAGUUUAUAGGGGCUGGGGAGCCCUAGAGUUCAGAAGGCGGGAGCUCGGUGGGAGAGGCGGAGUCUGGCGCCAGAGGGAUCUCUCUACCUAGAAGAAUGAGGGACUGGGGAGACAGCGGUAUAGUCAGAUUGGGACUAUGUUAAGAGAAAGACGAGGGCGAAUAGACCACGCAGACCCGAGGAGGCGACUGGGAUAAGGAAGAACACUAUCGAAGACUACUCGGUUUUCCAAAAAGUUGAGAAAAUCGAUACAUCUCAGAAGCACGGGUUCAGGAGUAAGGAAACCAGCUUCAUAGAGAUGUUUAGGACCCUUAAAAGGGAGUGGCAGGAGGAACCAUGCAGAAUCCUGACCCUGCCUUCCAAGUACAAUAGGAAUAAACGGGGGAGGGGUCCAGUGAUGCAGUUAUUCUGGGACGGAAAGACCCCAGAGAGUGGGAGCAUGGGAUAUAGAGGCUGGAGUGGAAGGACAAUGAAUGGAAGGAGAACGGUGUACGAAUAAAUCAAUAAACCGAGCAAUAGAAGUCCAUCAGGCACCCGGGAUCCUCUGAGCAGACCCAAAUGAAUGGGCGUUCCCCCAGCAGCCUCAAACUUCAGAUGAAAAAGCUUGGAUAGAAAGAAGAGAAGUACCCGGUCCAGAGAAGCCCAAAUACCCCACCCCCCUGCCUCUUGCUGGCCUCAGGUCAAGGAGCCUGAGAGAAACUGGAUCCAUUGGAUUCUGGGAGAUGGAGUUGGAGGAGGAGAAAGGGGUGAGUGAUUAAUGAGGGAGAUUAAACCUCAAGGCCCAGAGGUCAUCUCUUCCCCGCCCCCCCACCUCACCAUGGGAAAUUGAGAAGGGCUCUUACUUAGGAAGAGGGCAGGGAGUGAAAUCAACUGAAGAUCCUCCCAUUACCUGACACUCAUCACUCCCCCUAACCCACCCUCUGCCACAACAUACCACUCUAAAACCUGGUCAGUAUGAUCACUGAUUCCCCCCCCAACAUCUUAUGACAGAUGUUCCUUGAACUUGAUCCCUGAAAACCCCCUUAUCCCCUGUGACCAUUGCGACAAACUCGUGCCAUGUCUUCAGAUAGCCCAUUACUGACCCAUAUUGCACACAUCACAACCACUGACCUCACAACCUGUCCCUGAAUUUUCGCUGCCCUCAUAACCCAUCCCCACCGUUACUGAGUCUGCCCUUCCCCUCAUACAUCUUAACAGAGUUCCCAUGACCCACACCACUAAGGCAUCCCUUACAAUCUGGUCUCAGCUCUUACCUGCCCCCGUCAUUGAAGCUCCACCCACAUACAUGGGGGGCUCAUACAGCCGCUACUCCUUGAAACCUCAUUCUCCCACCCUUCUCACUCAUCAAGGGACACAACACUUAAACCACGGACCCUACCUAUAUCUCCUAAAUGCUCACAGCAAAUCACUAGCAAUCCAAUGUAUUCCUGGAGACUGACCACCCCACCCCACCCCACCCCAUCUCAAAUCAUUCCUCAUCAUUGCCAAUCUCUAUUUUUUUUGCCAUUCCUCCCCUCUACACAUACGACUGAUCAAUAUUUCUUAAACUACAUUGUGCUCACUACCAGUUAUUCACUUUUCUGUAUUCCUCUGGGAUUUUGGAAUGAAUUCAGCUAAAAGUGGAUAUGGCCGUUCAUCCCUUCAUGUUAUGUAGGUACUGGGAAGCAAUUUCUAUCAAAAUCAAAGCGUGGCUUGAGCUGUAUCCUAGAAAAGCCUCUCAGCCCCAUUUCCUCAUCUGUUUUUACCUCUCCUUUUUUACUACACCUUCAAGACUUGGAACAGGUAGUAUAUAAAGUAGGAAAACUUGGAGUUAGCUCUUCCACGUAUUGUGAUCCUGAGUAAAUCACCUUCCUUCUCUGAGCCUGUUUCCAAACUAGAGAAUCCAGAAUAUUUGCACCUAAAUGUCUUGCCAUUAUAAAUUUAAUUGAAAGUAGAGGGGAAUGGAAACAAUGUAAAUCAACACGUUAUGUUUUUUGUUUCGUGGUUUUUUUUUUCCCUUUAGUUCUCUCCCAACAUGAUUCAUAAGGAAAUGAAUUUUUUUUAAUGUACAUAUAACCAGAAACUUUUUUUUUAAUGUGGGGGGAAACCGAUACGUAAAAGUGCUAUAUUCUGUCUUCAACUUUGUAAAUCUACAUCAGAUGGUAUGUAACCCAAGUGCUCUGGUAGAUACUUUUAGGAUUUAGAACCAGAGAGAACAUUGGACCCUCUCAUCGAAUAGACAAAGCACUUUGUAAACCUUAAAAAUGUUUCAUCUCUGGGAGAAAUGAAGUCCAGAAAAAUGGCAAUCAAUUGAAUCCAAGUUAUAUCAGCCAAGACCAGAACUUGAAUAAGUUCUCCCAAGAUCCUGAAUGCAAAGUUCUUUCCAUAACACAGUGCAUGUGUCCAUAUGUGCUAUAUUCGAUUUUACUUUUCAGUCCUUUGGGGACAUCACGGGGAGGGCAAGGGCAGGGAAAGAGUCACCUUCAUCCCUGACAGCUGGGAACAGCUGGGGGGCAGAGGGAGGGAGGGGAGGGAGAGGAGGGAGAGAAGGCAGAAAGCUGAGGACAGACAGCAUCCAGGACUCUCAGCUUUCUGGCCAGAAGGAGGGGAAACAGUGUGGAAACAGGCGGAGCAUGUGGUAAGGGCUCCGGGUACCUUUUCUUUCUCAAUCCCGUUUGGAACCUGGUUGCCAUUUUUUUGUUCAAAUCUGGACAGUUCUCCCUCCCCCCCCCACCCCCGCCCUUCGCCCCUCCCAAAGGAGCUCUUCUCUGAGACUCCUGGGAUCCAGAUCACAAUGAAGCCCGUCCCCCUCCGGAGAUGAAGACCCAAAAUGGGUUCUCAUUAGGAGGGGAAUAAAGGAGGCUGGUAGAUUCAGGGCCCGAAUGGCCCUACAGCUGGUCUGAAUCAGUGGUGGUGGAGAGGGAGCAGCUGCCAAAGCAAGAGCUUGGCCAAACCUUUCCCCCACCCCCUGUUGAUGAAAGACACAAAGAAGAUCCAGACUAGAGGUCUGAGCCUAUGGGCAGAAGCAUCUUUGAAGGGCAUGGGGGGAGGGGAUGAUUGAUCCUGGGCAGAGUUUCAGCUUUCUAGGUUACACACUUGGGGUGUCCCCCCCCAAAAUCCUGGCUAUUAAAACACUUGAUCACUGGGUUUUCCCUGUUCAAGGCUUCAUCACACCUAAGGCUGGGUCCCCCUCACUAGGACAAUAAUAACUGCCCCCCUCUUCCCCCCACCCCAACCCUUCCUGGAUUUCGAAAUUU